UACGUAGGUGGCGAGCGUUGUCCGGAUUUACUGGGCGUAAAGGGAGCGUAGGCGGACUUUUAAGUGAGAUGUGAAAUACCCGGGCUCAACUUGGGUGCUGCAUUUCAAACUGGAAGUCUAGAGUGCAGGAGAGGAGAAUGGAAUUCCUAGUGUAGCGGUGAAAUGCGUAGAGAUUAGGAAGAACACCAGUGGCGAAGGCGAUUCUCUGGACUGUAACUGACGCUGAGGCUCGAAAGCGUGGGGAGCAAACAGGAUUAGACUACCCCCGUA
rnacentral:rRNA from 1 species